UACAGAGGUCUCAAGCGUUGUUCGGAUUCAUUGGGCGUAAAGGGUGCGUAGGCGGCGCGGUAAGUCGGGUGUGAAAUCUUGGAGCUUAACUCCGAAACUGCAUUCGAUACUGCCGUGCUUGAGGACUGGAGAGGAGACUGGAAUUUACGGUGUAGCGGUGAAAUGCGUAGAUAUCGUAAGGAACACUAGUGGCGAAGGCGGGUCUCUGGACAGUAUCUGACGCUGAGGCACGAAGGCCAGGGGAGCGAACGGG
rnacentral:rRNA from 1 species